UUUGGUUUUAUUUGAAAAUUGAACGAAGCAAAACAAAUGCAACUCUGUUCCAAUUGAAUAUGAUUUAAAUUUCAUCGAAUUGAUAAAGUACUAUAGGUAGGACCUUGGGCCUUAGGAGGUUAACAAUCUUGAUGCCUUUCUCUAGUAACUUCGUCGAUUCUAGGCCUGAUU